GUGGGGAAUAUUGGGCAAUGGGCGCAAGCCUGACCCAGCAACGCCGCGUGAGGGAAGAAGGCUUUCGGGUUGUAAACCUCUGUCCUUGGUGACGAAAAAAAUGACGGUAGCCAAGGAGGAAGCCCCGGCUAACUACGUGCCAGCAGCCGCGGUAAUACGUAGGGGGCGAGCGUUGUCCGGAAUUACUGGGCGUAAAGGGUGCGUAGGUGGCCUUUUAAGUUGGAUGUGAAAUCCCCGGGCUUAACUUGGGUGGUGCAUCUAAUACUGGAGGGCUAGAGUGCAGGAGAGGGAAGCGGAAUUCCUAGUGUAGCGGUGAAAUGCGUAGAUAUUAGGAGGAACACCAGUGGCGAAGGCGGCUUUCUGGACUGUAACUGACACUGAGGCACGAAAGCGUGGGGAGCAAACAGGAUUAGAUACCCUGGUAGUCC
rnacentral:rRNA from 1 species